GAUUCAACAAGUGCUGAUAGUGGCAUUCUUCUAUGGCUUUGGUUUGUACAUAUGACAAUCACUGAAUAAUACUUUAGAUCACAUUUAUAGUUUCUUAGUAAAUAAAUGUUUGAGAUUCUUGUCUCCAAAAUUUGGUUGAAUUCACAGGUCAUUUUGGAAUAGGCCCCAUAUGUGUUUCCGUCUUGACCUAGCAAUCUUUGUCUCCGACUCGCCUUUCUCUAGUAUGUAAUUUAAUAUUUGGAUCCUGGCUUUAUUCCAUUUCCCC
rnacentral:lncRNA from 1 species